UUGAUCAUGGCCAGAUUGAACGCGGCGGGAUGCCUUCACAUGCAAGUCGAACGGCAGCGCGACUUCGUCUGGCGGCGAGUGGCGAACGGGUGAGUAAAGUAUCGGAACGUGCCCAGUAGCGGGGGAUAACUACGCGAAAGCGUGGCUAAUACCGCAUACGCCCUAAGGGGAAAGCGGGGGGUCUUAGGACCUCGCACUAUUGGAGCGGCCGAUAUCGGAUUAGCUAGUUGGUGGGGUAACGGCUCACCAAGGCGACGAUCCGUAGCUGGUUUGAGAGGACGACCAGCCACACUGGGACUGAGACACGGCCCAGACUCCUACGGGAGGCAGCAGUGGGGAAUUUUGGACAAUGGGGGCAACCCUGAUCCAGCCAUCCCGCGUGUGCGAUGAAGGCCUUCGGGUUGUAAAGCACUUUUGGCAGAAAGAAACGGCGCCGGCUAAUACCUGGCGCAUCUGACGGUACCUGCAGAAUAAGCACCGGCUAACUACGUGCCAGCAGCCGCGGUAAUACGAAUCACUAGUGAAUUCGCGCCGCCUGCAGGUCGACCAUAUGGGAAAGCUCCCAACCC
rnacentral:rRNA from 1 species